rnacentral:rRNA from 1 species
GACGAACGCUGGCGGCGUGCUUAACACAUGCAAGUCGAACGGAAAGGCCCUGCUUUUGUGGGGUGCUCGAGUGGCGAACGGGUGAGUAACACGUGAGUAACCUGCCCUUGACUUUGGGAUAACUUCAGGAAACUGGGGCUAAUACCGGAUAGGAGCUCCUGCUGCAUGGUGGGGGUUGGAAAGUUUCGGCGGUUGGGGAUGGACUCGCGGCUUAUCAGCUUGUUGGUGGGGUAGUGGUUUACCAAGGCUUUGACGGGUAGCCGGCCUGAGAGGGUGACCGGCCACAUGGGGACUGAGAGACGGACCAGACGCCUACGGGAGGCAGCAGUGGGGAAUAUUGCACAAUGGGCGGAAGCCUGAUGCAGCAACGCCGCGUGCGGGAUGACGGCCUUCGGGUUGUAAACCGCUUUCGCCUGUGACGAAGCGUGAGUGACGGUAAUAGGUAAAGAAGCACCGGCUAACUACGUG